UGCAGUCGAGCGAGAAAGGGGCUUCGGCCCCGAGUACAGCGGCAGACGGGUGAGUAAUACGUAGGUAACCUUCCCUUUUGUGGGGGACAACGGUCCGAAAGGACCGCUAAUACCGCAUCCGUCUCCCGGGACCCCGGUUCCGGGAGGGAAAGCUCCGCAAGGGGCGCAGAAGGCGGGGCCUAUGUCGCAUCAGCUAGUUGGUGGGGUAAUGGCCUACCAAGGCGAAGACGCGUAGCUGGUCUGAGAGGAUGAUCAGCCACACUGGGACUGAGACACGGCCCAGACUCCUACGGGAGGCAGCAGUGGGGAAUAUUGGACAAUGGGCGAAAGCCUGAUCCAGCCACGCCGCGUGAGUGAUGAAGGCCUUCGGGUCGUAAAGCUCUGUGGGGAGGGACGAACGUCCGGGCGAAGAGCUCGGGGUGACGGUACCUCCUUAGCAAGCACCGGCUAACUUCGUGCCAGCAGCCGCGGUAAUACGAAGGGUGCAAACGUUGCUCGGAAUCAUUGGGCGUAAAGCGCACGUAGGCGGCUUCGCAAGUCGGAUGUGAAAUCCCUCGGCUCAACCGAGGACGUGCAUCCGAAACUGCGGAGCUUGAGUGCUGAAGAGGAUCGCGGAAUUCCCGGUGUAGAGAUGAAAUUCGUAGAUAUCGGGAGGAACACCAGUGGCGAAGGCGGCGAUCUGGGCAGACACUGACGCUGAGGUGCGAAAGCGUG
rnacentral:rRNA from 1 species